AGGGUAUAACCAGGAGUUGCGAAGUGGUCGUAGUUGUUCAUGUCUCAAUCUGGAUCAUCUUUGCUUUUUGCUUCUGCUUUGUGCUAUCCCUCUUCCCGUACCUCAGUUCUAUCUGGAACCAUGAUCUGUGACUGCCAUGGAAAAGUGUUGGGCAGGAGGAGGCCAGCUGGGUCUUUGAAGUUGACAAUGGAGCCAGGAAUGAAAGCUGCACUUAGGAUGAGAAUUGCUUUCCCUGGAGCCAAGUCAGCAAAUGCAGUCUGGUUGUCAGAGCUGAGAGGCUUCACCAAGUCAAGUAGGGGAGGACAUCUUCACUCUGCAACUUGCCCUACUGAAUGCAGAAAGUACUGUCUACUUAGAUAAAGCCUACACUAAAAGGGAAUUGAAUCUCUGCAAAUAAGUAUGUGGAUCUAAUUUCUACCUUCCAGAUUAAAAGUAUAAUUAAAAAUGAAA
rnacentral:lncRNA from 1 species